rnacentral:rRNA from 1 species
GACGAACGCUGGCGGCGUGCUUAACACAUGCAAGUCGAACGGAAAGGCCCUGCGCUUGUGGGGUGCUCGAGUGGCGAACGGGUGAGUAACACGUGAGUAACCUGCCCUUGACUUUGGGAUAACUUCAGGAAACUGGGGCUAAUACCGGAUAGGAUCUCCUGCUGCAUGGUGGGGGUUGGAGAGUUCCGGCGGUUGGGGAUGGACUCGCGGCUUAUCAGCUUGUUGGUGGGGUAGUGGCUUACCAAGGCUUUGACGGGUAGCCGGCAUGAGAGGGUGAACGGCCACCUUGGGACUGCGAUACGCACCAGACUCCUACGUGACGCAGCAGUGGGGAAUAUUGCACAAUGGGCGGAAGCCUGAUGCAGCAACGCCGCGUGCGGGAUGACGGCCUUCGGGUUGUAAACCGCUUUCGCCUGUGACGAAGCGUGAGUGACGGUAAUGGGUAAAGAAGCACCGGCUAACUACGUG